rnacentral:rRNA from 1 species
UCCAGUUGAUCCCGCUGGCGGCUGCGGCUAUCUGGUUUGCACUAAGACAUGCAAGUCUAUCCGAAAGGAUGGCGUACCGCUCAUUAACACGUAGCUAACCUGCCCUAAAGCCUGGGAUAUCUUCGGGAAACUGAAGUUAAACCCGGAUAGGAGAUGGAUACUGGAAUGUUCUAUCUCCUAAAGGCAACACUUUAGGAUGGGGCUGCGGCGGAUUAGGUUGUUGGCGGGGUAAUAGCCCACCAAGCCGAUGAUCCGUAAGGGCUCUUAGCGGAGAGGCCCUGAGAGGGAGUCUGAGACAUCAUUCCCAGCCCUACGGGGUGCAGCAGUUAGGAAUUUUCUGCAAUAUGCGCAAGCGUGACAGAGCGAGCCAGAGUGAUUUUCCGUAUUGGAAAAUCUUUUAUGAGAUGCAAAAAGUCUCAUGAAUAAGGACUGGGCAAGACCGGUGCCAGCCGCCGCGGUAAUCCCGGCAGUCCAAGUCGCAGCCACUUUUAUUGGGUCUAAAACAUCCGUAGCUUGCUUAGUAAGUUCCUUGUGAAAUCGGGCCUCUUAAGGGUCCGGCGAGCAAGGGGUACUGCUUUGCUAGAGACCGGGAGACGUAAGGAGUACGAACAGGGUAGCGGUAAAAUGCGUUGAUCCUGUUUGGACUAACAACAGCGAAGGCAUCUUACGAGAACGGAUCUGACAGUGAGGGAUGAAGGCUAGGGGCGCAAAGUGGAUUAGAUACCCAUGUAGUCCUAGCAGUAAACACUGCACACUAAACAUUGGGGCCUCCUCGAGAGGUUUCAGUGCUGUAGCGAAGGCGAAAAGUGUGCUACCUGGGAAGUAUAGCCGCAAGGCCGAAACUUAAAGGAAUAGGCGGGGAAGUAAACAACGAGUGACGCGUGCGGUUCAAUCAGAUUCGACACCGUGAACCUCACCAGGAUCGACAGCAGAAUGAAGGUCAGUCUGAAGGGCUUACCUGACACGCUGAGAGGAGAUGCAGGGUCAUCGUCAGCCUGUGUCGUGAGAUGACCAGUCAAAUCUGGUAACAGGCGAGACCCAUAUGUACAUUUGCAUUUGCUCAAUGUACAGACUGCCGUGGUAACACGGAGGAAGGUGUGGGCUACGAUAGGUGGUCCGUCCCAAAUAUCCUGGGCUACACGCGCGCGGCAAUGCUGCACUCAAAGGGCUGCAACACCGAAAGGUGAAGCCAAUCUCAUAAACUGCAGCUUAGUUCAGAUCGAGGGUUGCAACUCACCCUCGUGACGCUGGAAUUCGUAGUAAUCGGACUUUAUCAGAGUCCGGUGAAUAAGUCAAUGCUUCUUGCACUCACCGCCCGUCAAACCAACCGAGUUUUGCAUUGGCGAGGUCCGUCAGGAACGAACC